rnacentral:misc_RNA from 1 species
GAUGAAGAACGUAGCGAAAUGCGAUAAGUAAUGAGAAUUGCAGAAUUCCGUGAAUCAUCGAAUCUUUGAACGCACAUUGCGCCCCCUGGCAUUCCGGGGGGCAUGCCUGUCCGAGCGUCAUUUCUGCCCUCAAGCACGGCUUGUGUGUUGGGUGUGGUCCCCCCGGGGACCUGCCCGAAAGGCAGCGGCGACGUCCGUCUGGUCCUCGAGCGUAUGGGGCUCUGUCACUCGCUCGGGAAGGACCUGCGGGGGUUGGUCACCACCAUGUUUUACCACGGUUGACCUCGGAUCAGGUAGGAGUUACCCGCUGAACUUAAGCAUAUCAAUAAGCGGAGGA